rnacentral:tRNA from 1 species
UUGCUAGUUGGAGUGGUUGCCGGCUCAAUCAGCGGCGGUCUGGUGGCCUGGCUAAAGGUGCCAUCUUUCCUAGUAACCC